GAUGAACGCUGGCGGCGUGCCUAAUACAUGCAAGUCGAGCGAACAGACGAGGAGCUUGCUCCUCUGACGUUAGCGGCGGACGGGUGAGUAACACGUGGAUAACCUACCUAUAAGACUGGGAUAACUCCGGGAAACCGGAGCUAAUACCGGAUAACAUGUUGAACCGCAUGGUUCAACAGUGAAAGACGGUCUUGCUGUCACUUAUAGAUGGAUCCGCGCCGCAUUAGCUAGUUGGUAAGGUAACGGCUUACCAAGGCAACGUUGCGUAGCCGACCUGAGAGGGUGAUCGGCCACACUGGAACUGAGACACGGUCCAGACUCCUACGGGAGGCAGCAGUAGGGAAUCUUCCGCAAUGGGCGAAAGCCUGACGGAGCAACGCCGCGUGAGUGAAGAAGGUCUUCGGAUCGUAAAACUCUGUUAUUAGGGAAGAACAAAUGUGUAAGUAACUAUGCACGUCUUGACGGUACCUAAUCAGAAAGCCACGGCUAACUACGUG
rnacentral:rRNA from 1 species